GCCGAGCUCAAUAGCGUGAGCUUGUAACCCUAGCGGGGGCCUGAGAGUGGUUGGAUAAUGGGUUAGCACUGAAAGGUUGGGUUGAGUGGUGCAGUUUACUGACCUGACUCGCCCAUUCCAAAUUGGGAGUUUGGCUGUGUGACCCAGGCGAAGGCCUGAGCCAUGUGGCUCCUAAAGUAGAGGGCAAUGCGUCAGGCUGGUUCCACAGAGCAACGACUACCUCUCGCUCUUGAUGGUGGAAGGACUACGGUUCGGGGCACCCUUCACCCGAUAACACCCUAAGAGCUGGUCUCCUUUGAACAACCACUUUU
rnacentral:SRP_RNA from 1 species